AGCCAAGUCUGAAACCACUGACGGUACCAUGAGGGCUUUCAUUUUCUUUCUCUUCAUGCUCCUGGCCAUGUUCUCAGCAUCUUCAACCCAGAUUUCAAAUACCAGUGUUUUCAAACUAGAAGAGAAUCCAAAACCUGCACUUAUUCUGGAGGAAAAAAAUGAAGCUAACCAUCUAGGAGGACAAAGAGAUUCUAAUAAGCAAGGAGGUAGUUAUACACAAGGAAAU
rnacentral:lncRNA from 1 species